GUGAGUCAUCGAAUCUUUGAACGCACAUUGCGCCCGCCAGUACUCUGGCGGGCAUGCCUGUUCGAGCGUCAUUUCAACCCUCAAGCUCUGCUUGGUGUUGGGGAUCGGCGUAGCGCCCUCGGGCGUCGCCGUCCCCUAAAUCUAGUGGCGGUCCCGCUGUAGCCUCCUCUGCGUAGUAGUUUUCUCCUCGCACUGGAAUCUCGGCGGUGCCCUGCCGUAAAACCCCCAACUUACCGAAAUGUUGACCUCGAAUCAGGUAGGAAUACCCGCUGAACUUAAGCAUAUCAAUAAGCGGAGGA
rnacentral:misc_RNA from 1 species